UAGGUCUGGAUUUUGUCUGUGUGGGGUUCACGUCUUCUAUCCACUUGAAAAAUGAACACUGCUCAGCUUUGGGGGCAUCACAGGUGUAGAAUAAAUGACUCUGCAUGGUGUUAUACCGACCUGUCAGAGCAGCUUUAAAAAUCUGUUUGUACUGAACAUGAGACUGAAACAUGGCUGGUAUGAAAGUCUUCCUUUUAGGAAGGUUUGCAUGUUUUACUUUAUCCACAUGAGGAAAAGACAACUCACAAAUUGAUAUAUCCUAAAAAACAGAAAAAUACCAUUACAACUUGCAAAACCCUGAAUGAGAUAAACAUUGAUAAAUGGCUACUUUGCAGAUGUGCCAAAACCUAUCCAUAUUUCUUCUCUUU